rnacentral:tRNA from 1 species
GUUGUAGCUCAGUGGUUGAACAUUUGCCUCGCAUGCAUGGGGCACUGGGUUCGAUCCUCAGCACUACA